rnacentral:rRNA from 1 species
AUUGAACGCUGGCGGCAGGCCUAACACAUGCAAGUCGAGCGAGCGGCGGACGGGUGAGUAAUGUAUGGGGACUGCCCGAUAGAGGGGGAUAACUGCUGGAAACGGUAGCUAAUACCGCAUACUAUCGGAUAACCCAUAUGGGGUUAGCUAGUAGGUGAGGGAAUGGCUCCACUAGGCGACGAUCCCUAGCUGGGCUGGGAGGAGGAUCAGCCACACUGGGACUGAGACACGGCCCAGACUCCUACGGAGGCAGCAGUGGGGAAUAUUGCACAAUGGGCGCAAGCCUGAUACAGCCAUGCCGCGUGUAUGAAGAAGGCCCUAGGGUUGUAAAGUACUUUCAGUCGGGAGGCGUUACCGACAGAAGAAGCACCGGCUAACUCCGUGCCAGCAGCCGCGGUAAUAC